rnacentral:lncRNA from 1 species
UUUGCGACACCUCUGUAUCCUUUGUGAUUGUUUUGUCAGCAUAACCUUAUAUGUACACAAACAUUCAUAUAAAUUCAUAAUUGGCAUAUCUCGCAUCUUCAUUUUUGAUUUGUUUGAGUUUCUUAUUCUCUGUUAUGGCGGUACUUUAUCCCCAUACCAAAUCGAGUGUCUGUCCUCCUUCAAUUGUAGAGUGUCAGCCCCUUAAGCAGAAAGACUUUAACCUUUCUCUGUUUACCCACUUAG